GGCCUGCCCAAUGAAAGUUMAUGGCCGCGGUAUAUUGACCGUGCAAAGGUAGCAUAAUCAUUAGUUUUUUAAUUGAAAGCUGGAAUGAAGGGUCAGAUGAAAAGAUUUCUGUCUCUAGGGAAAUUUAUUAGAAUUUUAUUUUUAAGUGAAAAAGCUUAAGUUUAAGUAGAAGACGAGAAGACCCUAUAGAGUUUAAUAGUUAAUAAAUAAGUGGAUUUAGGAUUUGUAUAUUGUUUAUUUAAUAAAUUAUUUUGUUGGGGUGAUUGAAAAAUUUAAUAAACUUUUUUUAAAAAAUUACAUUGAUUUAUGGGUUUAUGAUCCUUUAGUAAAGAUUAAAAGAUUAAAUUACCUUAGGGAUAACAGCGUAAUUUUUUUUAGAGUUCUUAUCGAAAAAAGGGAUUGCGACCUCGAUGUUGGAUUAAAAUGAAUUUUUGGUGUAGAAGCUAGAAUAUUAGGUCUGUUCGACCUUUAAAAUUUUACAUGAUCUGAGUUUAAACCGGUGUGAGCCAGGUCGGU
rnacentral:rRNA from 1 species